rnacentral:tRNA from 1 species
GAGGGUAUAGCUCAGUGGCAGAGCACGUGCUUAGCAUGCAUGAGGUCAUGGGUUCAAUUCCCAGUACCUCUG